rnacentral:rRNA from 1 species
GAUGAACGCUAGCGAUAGGCUUAACACAUGCAAGUCGAGGGGCAGCGAGGGUAGCAAUACCUGUCGGCGACCGGCGCACGGGUGAGUAACGCGUAUGUAACCUGCCCGCAACAGGGGGAUAACCCGGCGAAAGUCGGACUAAUACCGCAUAAAACAGGGGUCCCGCAUGGGAAUAUUUGUUAAAGAUUUAUCGGUUGCGGAUGGGCAUGCGUACCAUUAGGUAGUUGGUGAGGUAACGGCUCACCAAGCCUUCGAUGGUUAGGGGUUCUGAGAGGAAGGUCCCCGAGACGGGGACCGAGACACGUGCGAGACUCCUACGGGAGGCAGCAGUGAGGAAUAUAGGUCAAGGGGCGAGAGCCUGAACCAGCCAAGUCGCGUGAAGGAUGACUGCGCUAGGGGUGGUAAACUUCUUGUACAAGGGAAUAAAAUGAGAUACGUGUAUUUUAUUGCAGGUACCGUGUGAAUAAGCAUCGGCUAACUCCGUG